UACAGAGGCCACGAGCGUUAGGCGGAAUCACUGGGCUUAAAGCGUGUGUAGGUGGAUGACUAAGUACCUUGUGAAAUCCCACGGCUCAACCGUGGAACUGCUUGGUAUACUGGUUGUCUUGAGGCACUCAGGGGCGAGCGGAACAGAUGGUGGAGCGGUGAAAUGCGUAGAUAUCAUCUGGAACGCCAAUGGUGAAGACAGCUCGCUGGGGGUGUACUGACACUGAGACACGAAAGCUAGGGGAGCAAACGGG
rnacentral:rRNA from 1 species